GACGAACGCUGGCGGCGUGGAUUAGGCAUGCAAGUCGAGCGAGAAAAGGUUCUUCGGAGCCUGAGUAAAGCGGCGAAAGGGUGAGUAGUACCUAGGUAACCUGCCCCAAAGCCGGGGAUAACGAUCGGAAACGAUUGCUAAUACCCGAUGUGGCGGUGCGUCCUCGGACGUGUCGUCAAAGGUAGCCUCUGUUUCAAGCUUCCGCUUUGGGAGGGGCCUCGGGCCUAUCAGCUUGUUGGUGGGGUAACGGCCCACCAAGGCUGGGACGGGUAGCCGGUCUGAGAGGAUGGUCGGCCACACUGGGACUGAGACACUGCCCAGACUCCUACGGGAGGCUGCAGUCGAGGAUCUUCUGCAAUGGACGAAAGUCUGACAGAGCGACGCCGCGUGCGGGAGGAAGGCCUUCGGGUUGUAAACCGCUGUUACCCGUUAUGAAUCGUCUGUCGUUAACAGCGGCAGGCGUGACAAAGCCGGGGAAGAAAGUCACGGCUAACUUCGUGCCAGCAGCCGCGGUAAUACGAAGGUGGCAAGCGUUGUUCGGAAUUACUGGGCAUAAAGCGCGCGUAGGCGGCUUGGCAAGUCGGAUGUGAAAUCCCUCAGCUCAACUGAGGAACUGCGUCCGAUACUG
rnacentral:rRNA from 1 species